rnacentral:rRNA from 1 species
GACGAACGCUGGCGGCGUGCUUAACACAUGCAAGUCGAACGGAAAGGCCCUGCUUUUGUGGGGUGCUCGAGUGGCGAACGGGUGAGUAACACGUGAGUAACCUGCCCUUGACUUUGGGAUAACUUCAGGAAACUGGAGCUACUACCGGAUAGGAGCUCCUGCUGCAGGGUGGGGGUUGGAAAGUUUCGGCGGUUGGGGAUGGACUCGCGGCUUAUGAGCUUGUUGGUGGGGUAGUGGCUUACCAAGGCUUUGACGGGUAGCCGGCCUGAGAGGGUGACCGGCCACAUUGGGACUGAGAUACGGCCCAGACUCCUACGGGAGGCAGCAGUGGGGAAUAUUGCACAAUGGGCGGAAGCCUGAUGCAGCAACGCCGCGUGCGGGAUGACGGCCUUCGGGUUGUAAACCGCUUUCGCCUGUGACGAAGCGUGAGUGACGGUAAUGGGUAAAGAAGCACCGGCUAACUACGUG